rnacentral:rRNA from 1 species
GACGAACGCUGGCGGCGUGCUUAACACAUGCAAGUCGAACGGAAAGACCCUGCUUUUGUGGGGUGCUCGAGUGGCGAACGGGUGAGUAACACGUGAGUAACCUGCCCUUGACUUUGGGAUAACCUCAGGAAACUGGGGCUAAUACCGGAUAGGAGCUCCUGCUGCAUGGUGGGGGUUGGAAAGUUUCGGCGGUUGGGGAUGGACUCGCGGCUUAUCAGCUUGUUGGUGGGGUAGUGGCUUACCAAGGCUUUGACAGGUAGCCGGCCUGAGAGGGUGACCGGCCACAUUGGGACUGAGAUACGGCCCAGACUCCUACGGGAGGCAGCAGUGGGGAAUAUUGCACAAUGGGCGGAAGCCUGAUGCAGCAACGCCGCGUGCGGGAUGACGGCCUUCGGGUUGUAAACCGCUUUCGCCUGUGACGAAGCGUGAGUGACGGUAAUGGGUAAAGAAGCACCGGCUAACUACGUG